rnacentral:lncRNA from 1 species
AUGGAAAGAAUUGGCAUUUUGCUCACAUUAUCUGCUUUCAUAACCAUUCAUUUUCAAGUGAAGGCCAAGAGCUUUUCUAAAAAUGUGUCAUCACUGGGAAUGAAUUUGGUCACCUUACCCUGGUACAUAUUUACAAAACUCAAGGAAGUACCAUGGAAUUUGAUACAGUUAUCAGUCUCACUUCUAAGGGUACCAGAACUGAAAUGACAGAAAUCUCACAGACCAGGACUGAGGAGAUGCUGCUGGGCUGGGACAAGAGGAGAAGAUAUGCCCUACCCACAGCUGUGAAAUCUGAAAAAUCUGCAGAAACACCAUGCUGAUGGCAGCCUGCUGCUCAGAAUUGUCUCCUAUUUAACUCCAGACUGCCCAUCCUGCUGCUGAGGCAGCUGGGAGCCCGUCCCAGCACGCUGCUGCUUGGGGCAGGCAAAUGCUGCACGACAGAAAUCCUGGGUGCCAGUGUGCCACAGAGGUGUGGAGUAAUUGCUGUGCACUAGAGGUCAUCAGCAGCUUCUGACACUGGCCAGAAUGGAAAUCAGGACAAAAUGUUGUUUUGGUUUGAUCUCAAUUAUACCAGUUUAAUUCCUAUGGCUUUUCACCAAAACAAGGAAAUGAAGGAAACAAUAUCUGAUUGAUUUUUUUUGCCUUUGAAAACAAAAAAUGCUUUUGGUUUUACUGAGGGCUUGUUUUCUUCAUUUCCUCUUUUCUUUUCUUUGUUUGAUUAACUUCCAUUAAACUUUUGGGCAAAACAUUUAAACCAGAGAGAAAAUGUUUUCCAUCAAAUAAAAUUUUCUGAUUUCCUACA